UACGUAGGGAGCAAGCGUUGUCCGGAAUCAUUGGGCGUAAAGCGCGCGUAGGUGGCCUCGUAAGUCCGCUGUGAAAGUCCAAGGCUCAACCUUGGAAAGCCGGUGGAUACUGUGAGGCUAGAGUACGGAAGAGGCGAGUGGAAUUCCUGGUGUAGCGGUGGAAUGCGCAGAUAUCGGAAGGAACAUCAGUGGCGAAAGCGACUUCCUGGACCAAUACUGACGCUCAUGUGCGAAAGCGUGGGGAGCAAACAGG
rnacentral:rRNA from 1 species